CCUACGAGAGGCAGCAGUGAGGAAUAUUGGUCAAUGGGCGCGAGCCUGAGCCAGCCAAGUAGCGUGAAGGAUGACUGACCUACGGGUUGUAAACUUCUUUUAUAAAGGAAUAAAGUGAGGCACGUGUGCCUUUUUGUAUGUCCUUUAUGCAUAAGGAUCGGCUAACUCCGUGCCAGAAGCCGCGGUAAUACGGAGGAUCCGAGCGUUAUCCGGAUUUCUUGGGUUUAAAGGGAGCGUAGAUGGGUUGUUAAGUCAGUUGUGAAAGUUUGCGGCUCAAACGUAAAAUUGCAAUUGAUACUGGCAGUCGUGAGUACAGUAGAGGUAGGCGGAAUGCGUGGUGUAGCGGUGAAAUGCUUAGAUAUCACGAAGAACUCCGAUUGCGAAGGCAGCUUACUAAACUGCCACUGACAUUGAUGCUCGAAAGUGUGGGUAUCAAACAGGAUUAGAUACCCUUGUAGUC
rnacentral:rRNA from 1 species